CCUACGGGAGGCAGCAGUAGGGAAUUUUCCGCAAUGGGCGAAAGCCUGACGGAGCAAUACCGCGUGAGGGAUGACGGCCUGUGGGUUGUAAACCUCUUUUCUCAAGGAAGAAGUUCUGACGGUACUUGAGGAAUAAGCAUCGGCUAACUCUGUGCCAGCAGCCGCGGUAAUACAGAGGAUGCAAGCGUUAUCCGGAAUCACUGGGCAUAAAGCGUCUGUAGGUUGUUUAGUAAGUCUGCUGUUAAAGACUGGGGCUUAACCCCAGAAAAGCAGUGGAAACUGCUAGACUCGAGUGUGGUAGAGGUAGAGGGAAUUCCUAGUGUAGCGGUGAAAUGCGUAGAUAUUAGGAAGAACACCAAUGGCGAAGGCACUCUACUGGGCCAUAACUGACACUGAGAGACGACAGCUAGGGGAGCAAACGGGAUUAGAUACCCCGGUAGUCCUAGCCGUAAACGAUGGAUACUAGAUGUUGCACGUAUUAACCCGUGCAGUAUCGUAGCUAAGGCGUUAAGUAUCCGCCUGGGAAAGUCGCNCGCAGAGAGAACGUAAACGUAAGUUAGUACGGACGUGAGACGUGCCGACGGACGACCGACGAGGGAGGUAGG
rnacentral:rRNA from 1 species